UCUACAUCCGAGCCUUCUCAGAGUACUCAAAAGGUGUCAACAAGUAAGAGGCAAGAAAAGAGAUCUCCAGGUGCAUCAACUAGUCUGCUCAAAAGAUAUGAAAAGAUGAUAACAGUGAGCUGAUUGAGUCUGCUCAGAGGGACGAAACUGACCAGCUUGAGACCUCUGUGGAUGGCCUGAAUCCAACAUUCACACAACUUGGUCUCCUCAACUGGGUUGAAGAGUUUGUUCUGGCAUCAAUCCUCAGAAGAGUUACAAAUGAUAACCAACACCCAUCACAGUUUCUGGAGUGCAUGUCCGAUGAGGAAUGCACAC